rnacentral:rRNA from 1 species
UUAAGCGACUAAGCGUACACGGUGGAUGCCCUGGCAGUCAGAGGCGAUGAAGGACGUGCUAAUCUGCGAAAAGCGUCGGUAAGGUGAUAUGAACCGUUAUAACCGGCGAUGUCCGAAUGGGGAAACCCAGUGUGAUUCGUCACACUAUCGUUAACUGAAUACAUAGGUUAACGAGGCGAACCGGGGGAACUGAAACAUCUAAGUACCCCGAGGAAAAGAAAUCAACCGAGAUUCCCCCAGUAGCGGCGAGCGAACGGGGAGCAGCCCAGAGUCUGAAUCAGCUUGUGUGUUAGUGGAACGGUCUGGAAAGUCCGACGGUACAGGGUGAUAGUCCCGUACACCAAAAAUGCACAGGCUGUGAACUCGAAGAGUAGGGCGGGACACGUGGUAUCCUGUCUGAAUAUGGGGGGACCAUCCUCCAAGGCUAAAUACUCCUGACUGACCGAUAGUGAACCAGUACCGUGAGGGAAAGGCGAAAAGAACCCCGGCGAGGGGAGUGAAAAAGAACCUGAAACCGUGUACGUACAAGCAGUGGGAGCACCUUCGGGUGUGACUGCGUACCUUUUGUAUAAUGGGUCAGCGACUUAUAUUCUGUAGCAAGGUUAACCGUAUAGGGGAGCCGCAGGGAAACCGAGUCUUAACUGGGCGUUAAGUUGCAGGGUAUAGACCCGAAACCCGGUGAUCUAGCCAUGGGCAGGUUGAAGGUUGGGUAACACUAACUGGAGGACCGAACCGACUAAUGUUGAAAAAUUAGCGGAUGACUUGUGGCUGGGGGUGAAAGGCCAAUCAAACCGGGAGAUAGCUGGUUCUCCCCGAAAGCUAUUUAGGUAGCGCCUCGUGAACUCAUCUUCGGGGGUAGAGCACUGUUUCGGCUAGGGGGUCAUCCCGACUUACCAACCCGAUGCAAACUACGAAUACCGAAGAAUGUUAUCACGGGAGACACACGGCGGGUGCUAACGUCCGUCGUGAAGAGGGAAACAACCCAGACCGCCAGCUAAGGUCCCAAAGUCAUGGUUAAGUGGGAAACGAUGUGGGAAGGCACAGACAGCCAGGAUGUUGGCUUAGAAGCAGCCAUCAUUUAAAGAAAGCGUAAUAGCUCACUGGUCGAGUCGGCCUGCGCGGAAGAUGUAACGGGGCUAAACCAUGCACCGAAGCUGCGGCAGCGACACUAUGUGUUGUUGGGUAGGGGAGCGUUCUGUAAGCCUGCGAAGGUGACCUGUGAGGGUUGCUGGAGGUAUCAGAAGUGCGAAUGCUGACAUAAGUAACGAUAAAGCGGGUGAAAAGCCCGCUCGCCGGAAGACCAAGGGUUCCUGUCCAACGUUAAUCGGGGCAGGGUGAGUCGACCCCUAAGGCGAGGCCGAAAGGCGUAGUCGAUGGGAAACAGGUUAAUAUUCCUGUACUUGGUGUUACUGCGAAGGGGGGACGGAGAAGGCUAUGUUAGCCGGGCGACGGUUGUCCCGGUUUAAGCAUGUAGGCUGGUUGUCCAGGCAAAUCCGGAUAAUCAAGGCUGAGGUGUGAUGACGAGGCACUACGGUGCUGAAGUAACAAAUGCCCUGCUUCCAGGAAAAGCCUCUAAGCAUCAGGUAACAUCAAAUCGUACCCCAAACCGACACAGGUGGUCAGGUAGAGAAUACCAAGGCGCUUGAGAGAACUCGGGUGAAGGAACUAGGCAAAAUGGUGCCGUAACUUCGGGAGAAGGCACGCUGGUGUGUAGGUGAAGCCCCUGCGGGUGGAGCUGAGACCAGUCGAAGAUACCAGCUGGCUGCAACUGUUUAUUAAAAACACAGCACUGUGCAAACACGAAAGUGGACGUAUACGGUGUGACGCCUGCCCGGUGCCGGAAGGUUAAUUGAUGGGGUUAUCCGUAAGGAGAAGCUCUUGAUCGAAGCCCCGGUAAACGGCGGCCGUAACUAUAACGGUCCUAAGGUAGCGAAAUUCCUUGUCGGGUAAGUUCCGACCUGCACGAAUGGCGUAAUGAUGGCCAGGCUGUCUCCACCCGAGACUCAGUGAAAUUGAACUCGCUGUGAAGAUGCAGUGUACCCGCGGCAAGACGGAAAGACCCCGUGAACCUUUACUAUAGCUUGACACUGAACAUUGAGCCUUGAUGUGUAGGAUAGGUGGGAGGCUUUGAAGCGUGGACGCCAGUCUGCGUGGAGCCAACCUUGAAAUACCACCCUUUAAUGUUUGAUGUUCUAACGUUGGCCCCUGACCGGGGUUGCGGACAGUGUCUGGUGGGUAGUUUGACUGGGGCGGUCUCCUCCCAAAGCGUAACGGAGGAGCACGAAGGUUAGCUAAUCCUGGUCGGACAUCAGGAGGUUAGUGCAAUGGCAUAAGCUAGCUUGACUGCGAGCGUGACGGCGCGAGCAGGUGCGAAAGCAGGUCAUAGUGAUCCGGUGGUUCUGAAUGGAAGGGCCAUCGCUCAACGGAUAAAAGGUACUCCGGGGAUAACAGGCUGAUACCGCCCAAGAGUUCAUAUCGACGGCGGUGUUUGGCACCUCGAUGUCGGCUCAUCACAUCCUGGGGCUGAAGUAGGUCCCAAGGGUAUGGCUGUUCGCCAUUUAAAGUGGUACGCGAGCUGGGUUUAGAACGUCGUGAGACAGUUCGGUCCCUAUCUGCCGUGGGCGCUGGAGAAUUGAGGGGGGCUGCUCCUAGUACGAGAGGACCGGAGUGGACGCAUCACUGGUGUUCGGGUUGUCAUGCCAAUGGCACUGCCCGGUAGCUAAAUGCGGAAGAGAUAAGUGCUGAAAGCAUCUAAGCACGAAACUUGCCCCGAGAUGAGUUCUCCCUGAGACUUUAAGUCUCCUGAAGGAACGUUGAAGACGACGACGUUGAUAGGCCGGGUGUGUAAGCGCAGCGAUGCGUUGAGCUAACCGGUACUAAUGAACCGUGAGGCUUAACCUU